CCUACGGGUGGCUGCAGUGGGGAAUAUUGCACAAUGGGCGCAAGCCUGAUGCAGCCAUGCCGCGUGUGUGAAGAAGGCCUUCGGGUUGUAAAGCACUUUCAGCGGGGAGGAAGGCGGUGAGGUUAAUAACCUCAUCGAUUGACGUUACCCGCAGAAGAAGCACCGGCUAACUCCGUGCCAGCAGCCGCGGUAAUACGGAGGGUGCAAGCGUUAAUCGGAAUUACUGGGCGUAAAGCGCACGCAGGCGGUCUGUCAAGUCGGAUGUGAAAUCCCCGGGCUCAACCUGGGAACUGCAUUCGAAACUGGCAGGCUAGAGUCUUGUAGAGAGGGGUAGAAUUCCAGGUGUAGCGGUGAAAUGCGUAGAGAUCUGGAGGAAUACCGGUGGCGAAGGCGGCCCCCUGGACAGAGACUGACGCUCAGGUGCGAAAGCGUGGGGAGCAAACAGGAUUAGAUACCCGUGUAGUC
rnacentral:rRNA from 1 species